rfam:Populus trichocarpa scaffold_11_contig_555, whole genome shotgun sequence.
UCUAGAACUUGAUAUAUGGGCUGAACACUGAAUAAUGUCUGGGCUGCAGGACAGAUUCUAACUUCUCUGUUGUUGCUACAAUUUGAACUUGAAAAUGCUCCUUUUGAAUCUUGGAAUCUUCAUGAAAGUUUUAGGCCUAUGUCUUAGCUUUUCAUA